rnacentral:rRNA from 1 species
GACGAACGCUGGCGGCGUGCUUAACACAUGCAAGUCGAACGGAAAGGCCCUGCUUUUGUGGGGUGCUCGAGUGGCGAACGGGUGAGUAACACGUGAGUAACCUGUCCUUGACUUUGGGAUAACUUCAGGAAACUGGGGCUAAUACCGGAUAGGAGCUCCUGCUGCAUGGUGGGGGUUGGAAAGUUUCGGCGGUUGGGGAUGGACUCGCGGCUUAUCAGCUUGUUGGUGGGGUAGUGGCUUACCAAGGCUUUGACGGGUAGCCGGCCUGAGAGGGUGACCGGCCACAUUGGGACUGAGAUACGGCCCAGACUCCUACGGGAGGCAGCAGUGGGGAAUAUUGCACAAUGGGCGGAGGCCUGAUGCAGCAACGCCGCGUGCGGGAUGACGGCCUUCGGGUUGUAAACCGCUUUCGCCUGUGACGAAGCGUGAGUGACGGUAAUGGGUAAAGAAGCACCGGCUAACUACGUG